rnacentral:rRNA from 1 species
GACGAACGCUGGCGGCGUGCUUAACACAUGCAAGUCGAACGGAAAGGCCCUGCUUUUGUGGGGUGCUCGAGUGGCGAACGGGUGAGUAACACGUGAGUAACCUGCCCUUGACUUUGGGAUAACUUCAGGAAACUGGGGCUAAUACCGGAUAGGAGCUCCUGCUGCAUGGUGGGGGUUGGAAAGUUUCGGCGGUUGGGGAUGGACUCGCGGCUUAUCAGCUUGUUGGUGGGGUAGUGGCUUACCAAGGCUUUGACGGGUAGCCGGCCUGAGAGGGUGACCGGCCACAUUGGGACUGAGGUACGGCGCAGACUCGUACGGGAGGCAGAAGUGGGGAAUAUUGCACAGUGGGCGGAAGCCUGAUGCAGCAACGCCGCGUGCGGGAUGACGGCCUUCGGGUUGUAAACCGCUUUCGCCUGUGACGAAGCGUGAGUGACGGUAAUGGGUAAAGAAGCACCGGCUAACUACGUG